rnacentral:rRNA from 1 species
GACGGAGGAUGCAAGUGUUAUCCGGAAUCACUGGGCGUAAAGCGUCUGUAGGUGGUUUAAUAAGUCAACUGUUAAAUCUUGAGGCUCAACCUCAAAAUCGCAGUCGAAACUAUUAGGCUAGAGUAUAGUAGGGGUAAAGGGAAUUUCCGGUGGAGCGGUGAAAUGCGUAGAGAUUGGAAAGAACACCGAUGGCGAAGGCACUUUACUGGGCUAUUACUAACACUCAGAGACGAAAGCUAGGGUAGCAAAUGGG